rnacentral:lncRNA from 1 species
GCAUCCACACGGGCACUUCUCAUCGUCCUGCUGCCCAUCAUCUUACUGCUUCUUAAUGAAGCUUACGCGUAUACAAAUGUAACUCUGGAAGAAAGAAGGAAUACGAACAACUGCGACAGAACACGUGGUCAAUGUCGCUAUCCUGCAGACUGCGCAUGUGACCCCAAAAAGCGUCUUGGAGAACAGUUCUGGAACACUUACUGGUACGACGAGCGCCACGACCGCUGUGGUACAAACGGAUACGAAUCCAACUGUAACGGAUUCCCAACAAAACAUGAAUGUGAGGAGAACUGCCUUAAGCGUAAUCGUCGUGCUUAAUCCUGUACGUCGGUCAUAUUUUCUGAAAUAUACGGGGUAAUAAAUUGCUGGUUACUGAGUAGUGAAA